AAACUGCCGGUAAUACCAGAUAACGUCGGAAGACCAAAGGUGUGAUUCCGCCUGGGGAUGAGCCCGCGUCCUAUCAGCUAGUUGGCAGGGUAAUGGCCUACCAAGGCGAUGACGGGUACUGGGUGUGAGAGCACGACCCAGCUCACUGGGACUGAGACACUGCCCAGACACCUACGGGUGGCUGCAGUCGAGAAUCUUCGGCAAUGGGCGAAAGCCUGACCGAGCGAUGCCGCGUGCGGGAUGAAGGCCUUCGGGUUGUAAACCGCUGUCAGGGGGGAGGAAAUACUGUGGGGUUCUCUUCACAGUUUGACUGAUCUCCAGAGGAAGGACGGGCUAAGUUCGCGCCAGCAGCCGCGGUAAGGCGAACCGUCCAAACGUUAUUCGGAAUCACUGGGCUUAAAGCGUG
rnacentral:rRNA from 1 species